rnacentral:rRNA from 1 species
CAGGUGGUGCAUGGUUGUCGGUCAGCUCGUGUCGUGGAGAUGUUGGGUUAAGUCCCGCAACGAGCGCAACCCUCGACCUUAGUUGCCAGCAUUCAGUUGGGCACUCUAAGGUGACUGCCGGCUAAAAGUCGGAGGAAGGUGGGGAUGACGUCAAAUCAUCAUGCCCCUUAUGACCUGGGCUACACACGUGCUACAAUGGGCGGUACAAAGGGUCGCGAACCCGCGAGGGGGAGCCAAUCCCAAAAAGCCGCUCUCAGUUCGGAUUGCAGGCUGCAACUCGCCUGCAUGAAGCCGGAAUCGCUAGUAAUCGCGGAUCAGCAUGCCGCGGUGAAUACGUUCCCGGGCCUU